GACGAACGCUGGCGGCGUGCUUUACACAUGCAAGUCGAACGGAAAGGCCCUGCUUUUGUGGGGUGCUCGAGUGGCGAACGGGUGAGUAACACGUGAGUAACCUGCCCUUGACUUUGGGAUAACUUCAGGAAACUGGGGCUAAUACCGGAUAGGAGCUCCUGCUGCAUGGUGGGGGUUGGAAAGUUUCGGCGGUUGGGGAUGGACUCGCGGCUUAUCAGCUUGUUGGUGGGGUAGUGGCUUACCAAGGCUUUGACGGGUAGCCGGCCUGAGAGGGUGACCGGCCACAUUGGGACUGAGAUACGGCCCAGACUCCUACGGGAGGCAGGAGUGGGGAAUAUUGCACAAUGGGCGGAAGCCUGAUGCAGCAACGCCGCGUGCGGGAUGACGGCCUUCGGGUUGUAAACCGCUUUCGCCUGUGACGAAGCGUGAGUGACGGUAAUGGGUAAAGAAGCACCGGCUAACUACGU
rnacentral:rRNA from 1 species